GGGCCCGUAGCUCAGCCAGGAUAGAGCGCCGGCCUCCUAAGCCGGUGGUCCCGGGUUCAAAUCCCGGCGGGCCCG
rnacentral:tRNA from 1 species